rnacentral:rRNA from 1 species
AUGUUUGAUAAUCCUUUAAACUUGUCAUAUGCUAUGAGUGAGAUCUCCCACAUUGCAUCAUUUCAAUCUCAACAUAGUAACUAUGCAUGCCCCAUUAAAAUAAAUCCCAUUUGCACUUAUGGCAUAGAUGACGAGAUGAUGGUCAUUGGCUUUUGUUUUUCAUGUGAUGAUAUUGCCAUGCUUCCUUUACAUGAUUUGCGCAAUUCAUCUACUAUGUCAUGCCAUGAUCACAUAGAACCAAAUAUGCUUUGUUUUAGAUGUUGUCAAUAUUCUCCAUCUGAUGUUUCUACUCAUGCUCAUGAGGAGACCCCCAUAGUUUCCUCAUACAUAUUAGGAGAUUUUGAUGCUUUACAUACUUUACAUGAUUCCCAUAAUUGCGUGCACCAUAUGCAUUCCAUGAAUAACAAUGCUCUACAUAUAUCUCAUGAUGCAUUACAUCCUUUGAGUCUCCAUUAUGGCAUACAUAAUAACAAACCUCUCAUGAUGGAUGACAUGUUUCUAUAUCAUGCAUCUCAUUUAUUUGAGCAUUGGCUAUUUUGUGCUAACCAACACAAGCACGUGCGCAUCAUGAUGGAUGAUGUGUACAUAUAUUAUGCACACACAAUUUUUCCUUUGCCUUUGUUUUGA